UACGUAGGGUGCAAGCGUUAAUCGGAAUUACUGGGCGUAAAGCGUGCGCAGGCGGUUAUAUAAAACAGUUGUGAAAUCCCCGGGCUCAACCUGGGAACUGCAUCUGUGACUGUAUAGCUAGAGUACGGUAGAGGGGGAUGGAAUUCCGCGUGUAGCAGUGAAAUGCGUAGAUAUGCGGAGGAACACCGAUGGCGAAGGCAAUCCCCUGGACCUGUACUGACGCUCAUGCACGAAAGCGUGGGGAGCAAACAGG
rnacentral:rRNA from 1 species